AUUGAACGCUGGCGGCAGGCCUAACACAUGCAAGUCGAACGAGUGGCGGACGGGUGAGUAAUGUCUGGGAAACUGCCUGAUGGAGGGGGAUAACUACUGGAAACGGUAGCUAAUACCGCAUACCAUCAGAUGUGCCCAGAUUGGAUUAGCUAGUUGGUGGGGUAACGGCUCACCACGGCGACGAUCCCUAGCUGGUCUGAGAGGAUGACCAGCCACACUGGAACUGAGACACGGUCCAGACUCCUACGGGAGGCAGCAUUAGGGAAUCUUGCACAAUGGGCGCAAGCCUGAUGCAGCCAUGCGGCGUGUAUGAAGAAGGCCUUCGGGUUGUAAAGUACUUUCAGCGGGGAGGCGUUACCCGCAGAAGAAGCACUGGCUAACUCCGUGCCAGCAGCCGCGGUAAUUC
rnacentral:rRNA from 1 species